UAUGAUCUUGAACCUGUUGGAGCAUUUGGACGCAUUUCUUUUAAGGAAGUUCACCUCCAGAUGUGCUCAGAGGGCCUGGUCUUAGCUGCCACAGAUUUACAAAUUCUUACAGUAAGAAUGGAGGCAUCACUCGGUCUCUGUCUUCUCUCCGUGUCUCUUUCUUCACUCCCAUCUUCCCUAACACACAUCCACAGUGCAAGUCUUCAGGAGGCAAAAGAGAAAAGGCUAGACUGUGCUGGGACCCCAACCCCAGGGCCCAUUUGCUGUCUUCUCAGCUUCCAUGUGCCCAGAGCCGCCUGGGGGAGCCUUCGGAGGUGCAGAUCCUGA
rnacentral:lncRNA from 1 species